UAGUUAUGUAAGAAUCGACAGGUGAUUUAUGUGCUUGAAAUUUUUACGUAAUUACUCUCUAUCGUCAAACUGCUGGUUGUUUCCUUAGGUUGACAUGGAUUUUCAAGCCCAUGGGUAGUUCCGUCAUUAACCACGAGAGCAUAAAGUCUCCUCUUUUUUUUUUUUUUUUUUUUAAACAGUGAGUACAGAGACUCCUUCCCUCGUCAGACUUAAGGAAGCAUUUCUUUCAACCCCAUCUCUUCAGCUAGUACAUGCUUGAAUUUUGAAGCAAUGCAGAGUCUCCGAUUCGGUUCUGUUCAUUCUUUACAUUGCUAGUGCAUAUUAGUCUCAAGCACCUGGGAUUGCCUCGAUUGCUGUACCGAGUUCCGGCUGCUAUGCUCUUGAUAGUUCUAGUCGCCUGUAGACUUUGUAUCCUAAAUUGAUACGGGUUCUGAGAUUAUGCAUCGAUGUUCAGAGUAUGCAAUUUUAAUUAUUAGCAUCUUCUCACAUUGGAGUAGACAUUUCAUUCUGCAAGACUGCAUGAUGGAUGGGGUCGGUAAUUCGCAAAUGGGGCGUCCUGUUUAGGUCUUUCUUAGUAGUCAUCUAUGCUCACAUGGUUAUUGGAAUCAUGGUUUUUAGUUUUGACUCUUAUUAAGUGUUUGGAUCUCAAAUAGGAUAUUUUUUUUUUAUUUUUUUUGGAUUUAGUAUUUGUUGAAAAUAUUUUUCUCUUAAAUUGUUAUUUAGAACAGUUGGAUUGGGCAUCCUUUUGAGUAUGAAGGAAAGGUAAUUUACGUUUUGAGUGUGCUAUUUAUGAAUCUUUAUCCGGAGGAUCAGGAUAAUGUUAUCAGUUGGUCUGGGUGCAGGAAAAUACUGACUUGGUGGUUCCAUUUUGCAAAGACAUUAAGAAAAGAUCACAAACGUUAGUCCGUAACACCAUGCUUUCAAGUACUUUACCAACAUGCUCCUUUUUCUUGCUUUCAUUUUUUCUUUCUAGGAUUUGUCUUUCAAUUAUGAAAAUGUUGGUGCAGAAAAUGAUUGAUUCCAAAGGAAUCAAAAAAAUGUAGAGAAGAAUCACAUAGAGGCUUUCUUUUUUAAUCACUAUAUUUAGUCAAAACAUAAGCACAAUUUGCAAACCUUAACCACUCAUGCAACUUAAUGGUGAUUAAAUUUUGUUUAAUGCUUUCUUGCAAUAACAAUCAUGGAAUUGGUAAAAGUUUUGUAACUAUGCUUAUCAUCAUCAACGUCUUUUACUUUGAUGGUGGGCCAUGGUUGUAAAUGGAAAUACAGUUUACCAUGAAACUUAAGAAAGUCAUGACUUUGACACUUAAUUGGAUUGCCAUUCUCGAACAUGUGUGUACCCAAGGUAAAUAUUCUUUCCCUAAUUAUAUGAAAUUAGAUUUUAAAAAGAAAAAUGGAUGUUCUUUAUCAAAUGAGAAAAUUUUCAUUGAUUGACAAAUAAGGCAAGUGCUAGUUUUCUUUUUCUUUUUUUCUCAGACAGGGAUAGGAUUCUGGUGUUUCACUUCUAAAAAUUGCAUGAAUACAAGGGUUCUCACUGCAGAUCACUCUCUCAUUAAUGGCUGCUAUUGUUGUGGUAGUGACAUUAAAAGUGAUGGUUAACCCAGGACCACUCAUGCACAUCUAUAUGGCUUAAAUAAUAUCAUACCACCGCAUGCAUAAAUAUUUUCUGUGAUAUAGGCAUGGUUCAUAUUUUCUCAACUUCUUAUAAUUGUGCAUGGAUAUGUGGAUUUUGGUCGAUUUGGUAAGUUCAACUACUUUGUUGCUGGUUCAGGACAUGUUGAUUUUGUUCAAGUAAGCAUUCUUUUGUAACUCAAAAACCAUAGUGCAGUUGCGUAGGAAGCAGACAUGGGAUUAUCAAGUGUUUAUAACAAGAAUUUGUUAGAUUAUAUUGAUUUUGAAUCAUAAAGAGAGCUAAGAAUGAAUUUAAUGCAUUACAAAUGUGUCAUGCCAAAUUGCAAUCCUUGCUUUGAGCAAGCAUUUGCAAAGAGUGAUCUCUAUAUUUUUUGGCCUCCAUAGUGGCUGUUUAGAAUCUUGCAAAUAUGAUAGGUAAUGAUCCAAUUUCAAUAAGAAGGAAUGAAAUUUGAAGGUAUUCUUGUGAGUGAUAACUAUCCUAACUAUGCAUAAAUUUUUGGAAGCUUCAGCAUUGAAUAAACUCUUGUUACCCUUUAUAUGACUGCAAUUGCUUCCCUUUCUACUUUGGUGCAAAAACCCACUAUUAUGGUACUCUAAGUAUAUCUGCUAUUUCCAAAUGUACCUGCUAAAAUAUGUAUAAUGUAUGUGAUAUUUGUUUAAUCAACUACCUUCUCAGGUUUUUCCAGAGAAAGGUAUUGGGGUUAGUUUGUCAGGCUUGGGUGCAAUUGGUAAUCCUCCUAAGACGUUGUCCCCGACAAUGUUGAUUGUGGAUUAGAGAUGUCAUGGGGUCCGUAAUACACCCAUGAAGUUAAUGUUACAAUCCCAAUAGAGGGUUAUGAACCUGUCCAGUUUCCUCUUGCAAAAAACUGUGAACACAGGCAGGAUUAAGGGAAUGACUCUAGAUGAGGAUGGGCUAUCUUUGGGGUCAUAUCUUGCAUCAUGGAAUUGAUGCAUUGCCGGGCAUGGCAACAUUAUCUGCAUGUGAAGAGAUUGUAUUGUGUGUGUCCAAAAUGUUGAGCACUAUUUGGGCUCCAUCCAAGUGUUUUUUUUCUAAUGUGGAGGUGCACCUUGUAAAGCGAAGGAACACAUCUCAAACAGGCAGGUGGUGAUGGGCAUGGGCAUACACGAGCCGAAGACCCCAAUAUUGGCUACUCACUAGCUGAAGCCUCUUGGGAACGACCGUCUGCCUCAGCUCAAGGAAUGUGGAGAACUAGUGACAGGAAAUAUGGUUCAAUUUAAGCUUUGUAUCUUGACUUGAAGAUUUAGGAUACAAAAUGGAUUUUGUGCACAGAACAUACUUGUAAGAGAUUGACUGAAUCAAAUUGAAGCUACAGGGGAUUGUAUGCAUAUGAUAUUGUUUCUGAUUUCAAUGUUUAAGAGUUUAAUCAGGAUUUCAAACUCAGGAGUCCAGAGUAAACAGAUUUGUUUCAAUAAAGUGUUGCCAAAUUUUUACA